AUACGUAGGGUGCAAGCGUUAAUCGGAAUUACUGGGCGUAAAGCGUGCGCAGGCGGUUUUGUAAGACAGUGGUGAAAUCCCCGGGCUCAACCUGGGAACUGCAAUCGUGACUGCAAGGCUGGCGUGCGGCAGAGGGGGGUGGAAUUCCGCGUGUAGGAGUGAAAUGCGUAGAUAUGCGGAGGAACACCGAUGGCGAAGGCAAUCCCCUGGGCCUGCACUGACGCUCAUGCACGAAAGCGUGGGGAGCAAACAGGAUUAGAUACCCUGGUAGUCCACGCCCUAAACGAUGUCAACUGGUUGUUGGGGAUUUAUUUUCUCAGUAACGAAGCUAACGCGUGAAGUUGACCGCCUGGGGAGUACGGCCGCAAGGUUAAAACUCAAAUGAAUUGACGGGG
rnacentral:rRNA from 1 species